AUGCCCCAGCUGUAUCCCCUCACCUGCCUGGUGUUGACCAUCCCCGUGUCCACCUCCCCCGUGGAACAGUCUUACUCGGACACAGCAAUGAUCACAGCUGGUCUGAUCACACUCUCUGCAGCUCUGCUCUGCAUCGUAGGUCUAACUGAUGGCAGUGAUGUGACUCAGACUGCUCUGCUGUGGAAGGACAAGGGUCAGUCUGCCACCAUGAACUGCAGCCACACUAAAGAUGUCAGUUACUUCCAGAUGUACUGGUACAGGCAGCUUCCAGGGGAGAUGAUGAAGCAAAUAGUUUUCACAACUCCUUCUGCUACUGAACAUAUAUAUGAGAGUGGCUUCAGUAAGGACAAAUUUCCAGCACAGAAGAGAAACGCCAACACUGGAUCUCUGACAGUGGAGAAGCUGCAGCCUGAAGACAGUGGACUGUAUUUUUGUUCAGUGAGUCAACACAGUGAUGCAGGUGACUCGGGCAGCUGCACAAAAACCCAACUGCUAGUGACAGGGAAAAGAAAAGAAGACAACGGUGUCUUUGACAGAGUACAGAUGGCGCUCUGGAUCUAGGUUGUCAUUUAGUAGUAUUUUUAAUUUAAUGAUGGAAAAACUACAGCUUGUUACAUUAGAGAAAUAAAGUGAAGGAAAACUUUUUUGCUUGAAUAAAUAAAUCAUUCAAACUGAAA